CUCAUCGAUUGCUGAAUGAGAUUUCAUUAGCAUGAGUCACUCGUUGCCCUGAACACAUUGAGACAGAGAAUUGAACCCAGUGUGCUGAGCCUGGGUGUAAAAAGAGAGAAGAAUAACAGGUUGGUAAAGCCCCCCAAAAAUACUUCAUUAGACUUCUGGAUCUCAAUCGGUGCAUAUUAGAUGAGCUGGCUACACGGUGUACUAAGAGUUUACUUUAACUGACACAAAACAUAGACCCAGAGGCUUAGAGAGGUGAAGGUGGCAGCCUUUUAGCUCCUCAUCACUUCUCUAGUGCUCGGGGUGGGUCAAACCCGGAGGAUUUAGCAACCAACCUCUGAGAUCAUACUGUGAAGGAUUGUGCUAUAACUCAACAAGUACGAUCAGGGCCUUGUCAUCAGUACUAUUAGUGCCCCCUGCACACUCAGCAGUUUUAGAAGAGAACUACCCUCUUAAGCAAACUGGACUUUCGGAGUUCAAGGCACCCCCAAGAACAAUAGCAAAUUCCUUUAGUCAUGAAUCACCUAUUGCUACUGAGUACACAUGGAUCAUUUUCCUAGAUUCUGUUCCACAAAUACUCCUAUUUUAAGUCUCAGCACAGUUCCCCUCCAGUGGUCAUCUGCAUGGUGUUUUUUUUCCAGCUGUGGUCUCAGACUUGGCAGUGAAUAGAUUUCCCUCAUGUGCUCUACUAAAGACAUUCAGAUGCCUUUUCCCCCUCUUGGCUCGGUGAACAAAGCAAAAGAAACCUUAGCUCCUCCAACCUUGAAGUUGCCCAGGAGUUCAGGCUUGAUAGUGUAUCUGAUAAACAUUUAGAACCUUGAAGUUGCCCAGGAUUUCAGGCUCAAUAGUGUAUCUGAUUAGCAUUUAAAACUUUGAAGUUGCCCAGAAGUUCAGGCUCAAUAGUGUAUCUGAUAAACAUUUAGAACCUUGAAGUUGCCCAGAAGUUCAGGCUCAAUAGUGUAUCUGAUAAACAUUUAGAACCUUGAAGUUGCCCAGAAGUUCAGGCUCAAUAGUGUAUCUGAUAAACAUUUAGAACCUUGAAGUUGCCCAGAAAUUCAGGCUCAAUAGUGUAUCUGAUAAGCAUUUAAAACCUUGAAGUUGCCCAGGAGUUCAGGCUCAAUAGUGUAUCUGAUAAACAUUUAGAACCUUGAAGUUGCCCAGGAGUUCAGGCUCGAUAGUGUAUCUGAUAAACAUUUAAAACCUUGAAGUUGCCCAGGAGUUCAGGCUCGAUAGUGUAUCUGAUAAACAUUUAAAACCUUGAAGUUGCCCAGGAGUUCAGGCUCAAUAGUGUAUCUGAUAAAAGCUUAAAGAGUUUAAUCAAGCUCCCGCACGGACAGUCUCUUUUUGUUCUGAGGAGCUCAGAAAAUGAAAUGAAGUGACAAUACUUAGCUACAGGCCUUAACUGAUGUCUUUAUCUCUUUCCUUCAGCUCUGGCAAAAGGUAGUAACUACAGAAUCAGUUGGAAAGAAAGUGAAAACUGAGGAGAAGUGUGCUUUUCCCGGUAUUGUUACGGAAAUAUGCGUCCUAACUAAAUGCUUGUGUAUAUCCAUCCCAUUAAGCACGUUUUAUUAGUGAGAGACAAAUUGGUUUGACACUAGUAGAGACACACAUCCUCUUCGCUAAGUGACAGACUCUGCAGCUUGAUCGAUGAAGGGAAAUGGUCAAUCCAAUUAGAUUUGGAUUGGUUUAACAUGAGCAUUAUUGAAUUAAAAGUCUUUCAGCUUUCCCAUUGAUCCUGCCAGAGCUUAGGCCGAGUAGGCACUGUACAUAUCUAGAAGGCCACGCCCUCUUACAGGACAAUACAUGUGGAUAAGAGCCCGGGGUAAAUUGUAGUAAUGGGUAAAAAAAGCUAUACAGUUUACAUAUCGCAAUAGUUUUUGGGGACAAUAUGGGACUUGUUUCAGGAAACUAGGCAUAUGUCGCAAGCCACUACUUCACAGAAGAUGCAUUAGAAUGUUUUAUUUUUUUAAUCAAACUGCUUUUUUUUGGCAGAAUGCCUUCUGGACCACGUGAACUUUCAUGUGCCUUAAUAACAAACUUGCAUGCCAUCUGUAAAUAGGAAUAAAAAAGAAUAAUCACAAGCCGAGAUGUUUUUAGCCACAGAAAAAGGAAGGAACCUUCCCGCUAGACGUGAUUGGCUGAGAUAAUGAAUGGGCUGGACAGGCGAUGAGAUGAUUUCAGAUUGAUCUACCAUGUAGCACAUUCUGUCUAUAACAUAACCUGCUCGCUAUGUGUAGAUACUCCUUUCUACUGCAGCUUUUUUAAAAGAUAUCAUUGAGGUGUUUCUCCGGAUUACAUAUUCAAACUUAGGGCACAAAUGGAAUCCGUGACAGAGGGAAAGAGAUCUGAUUAAUCUUAUGGCAUUGCACACGGUCAGUGUGAACCAGAGCGAUUUGACACAACGGGCCAAGCAAGCUGUACAAACGAAACGGAAACGACACAGGACGUCUAAUUUAAUGAAAUGGGUUGCAGUCUGCCGUGAAGCGUUCAUCUAUGAAUACGGGUAAGAGUCCAGCUACAUUUUCAGAUAUUAUACAUUUCUAAUUUAGUCAGGAAGUCAUUUUCAUUGCAAGUUAAAGCCAGCUAGCUAACAUUAGUUGGCUGACUCACUAGCUAACAUCACGUUUAUGAUCUGUGUAUUAAUAUUAUCUCAUGAAGCCAUUUGCAUUGCUAGUUAUAGCCUAAUGUGAGAUGGCUAACUAACUUUGAACCUAGUUCGUUAGCUUUAACUAGCUAUGACAAUCGGUUUGUAUUGCAUGUACUCUAUGGGUUGGGGUUAUGGGUCAUUGUUUAGCUAGCUACAUGUUUAAACAAGACUCCACUUCGGCAGAUGAUUACAUGACUAAUCAAGUUAGUCAGGUGUGUUUGGUGGUGAUUACGGCCAUCUAUUGUAUAAUAAUGCUAAGAUAUUUGUAUCUGGAAUUUGUCUUUCAGCAUCUGUAGAACACGCCAGACUCUCUUCCACCAGUCAUACAAGGAGAAUGGUCUAAUGCCUCCCAUCAAAAAGAGAUCCUGCCAAGCAAGCGCAGGUUACACCCUGUAGCAUGAGGACUUGCAGCGAGUUGUGAACUUCAACAACAACUAUGCAGAGGAUAGUGCAAUAGUAUUACCAGGACGUCACCCAGGACACAAACACUUUGGUGGAAAGCUGCUGCCAUCCCAUGUGACAGAAGCAGCAGUGUGGUGUCUCUACAAGGAAUCGAUGACAACACUAUAGGUAUGUGUAGUCGGGCUUUCUUCCUUCAGGAAUCUGUGAAGAGAUUGCUGGUGUGGUGAAGGACAGCACUGUGACAGGACAACAUCCCACUGUUGGUUGGACUGGAGCUUUGAUGCUCUGGAGCCUGGUGUUGUUGUCUCCAAAGGAGCAGCAACCCAGUUGGGACCAGGUUUCAGCUGCUGUGCAAUGCUGAUGUCCUUUCUCCCAUAGAUGGUCUGCCUGUACAAGCACCACCUGGACACAACUAGACAAAGAUAUUUUUUUGAGAAGAUUAGGGAAUUUUGCGACAAGGAGGCCAUGGACAUCAAAUGUCCUGCACCAAAGUAAAGGGCAGGACAGAAACAGGCUCGCCAAAUAUAGAUGCUCUUGUUCAUGCGUGGUGCUGAUGGACCAGUACAUCACUGGAGGCCAAGUUCCCAUUCAUCCGGACUCUCUCUAGUAGCAGCACAUUCACAUCACUCUCCCCCUAACACACAAACACGCAUACCAUACGUUGCUGCUACAUUUAUUUUUAUCACGCUGCUAAGCCACUUUACCCCUUAUUGUAUGCAUAUAACUUCAUUGUCUAUCAAAAGUAUCACUGAUAUCAUUAUUGACAUUGUUCGUGUACAUACUGUAUAUUUAGUUCUUUCUCUUACUGGCACUUUGACACUUGUUUAUUGUUUAUUUAUUGUUUAUAUUGACACUUUCUAUUUUUGAUAUUGCUACUAUGCAAGUAACCAUUUCACUGUAUCGUGUACACCUUCUUUACACCUUCUAUACAUACACCUUCUGUACACCUUCUAUACACCUUCUGUACACCUUCUAUACACCUUCUGUACACCUUCUAUACACCUUCUGUACACCUUCUAUACACCUUCUGUACACCUUCAAUACACCUUAUAUACACCUUCUAUACACCUUCUGUACACCUUCAAUACACCUUCUGUACACCUUCUAUACACCUUCUGUACACUUAACAAAAUGUGACUGGCAUUUAUAGCAUUUCUUUCACAGGACCCAUCAAUUUAGACAUUUGUCUGGGGUAAGCAUCAUCUAAUAUCUAUAAAAUAUUUUUAUUUAUUUGUUAUUAUAUAUUUAUUUGUUUUUGAUAUUGCUGCUUUACAAAUAUGCAUGUAACCAUUUCACUGUAGCG